AGCGUACACGGUGGAUGCCCUGGCAGUCAGAGGCGAUGAAGGACGUGCUAAUCUGCGAUAAGCGCCGGUAAGGUGAUAUGAACCGUUAUAACCGGCGAUUUCCGAAUGGGGAAACCCAGUGUGACUCGUCACACUAUCAUUAACUGAAUCCAUAGGUUAAUGAGGCGAACCGGGGGAACUGAAACAUCUAAGUACCCCGAGGAAAAGAAAUCAACCGAGAUUCCCCCAGUAGCGGCGAGCGAACGGGGAGGAGCCCAGAGCCUGAAUCAGCAUGUGUGUUAGUGGAAGCGUCUGGAAAGGCGCGCGAUACAGGGUGACAGCCCCGUACACAAAAGCGCAUGUGCUGUGAGCUCGAUGAGUAGGGCGGGACACGUGGUAUCCUGUCUGAAUAUGGGGGGACCAUCCUCCAAGGCUAAAUACUCCUGACUGACCGAUAGUGAACCAGUACCGUGAGGGAAAGGCGAAAAGAACCCCGGCGAGGGGAGUGAAAAAGAACCUGAAACCGUGUACGUACAAGCAGUGGGAGCCCCACCACUAAGCCAGUGGUGAACUCCACAUACGCAUCCUUUGCUGAGGAUACGGUUAACGGAGCGAAAGCGACGUUCAACCGCAAAAGAAGCAGAGGGGGCUUAGUGGUGGGGUGACUGCGUACCUUUUGUAUAAUGGGUCAGCGACUUAUAUUCUGUAGCAAGGUUAACCGUAUAGGGGAGCCGGAGGGAAACCGAGUCUUAACCGGGCGUUAAGUUGCAGGGUAUAGACCCGAAACCCGGUGAUCUAGCCAUGGGCAGGUUGAAGGUUGGGUAACACUAACUGGAGGACCGAACCGACUAAUGUUGAAAAAUUAGCGGAUGACCUGUGGCUGGGGGUGAAAGGCCAAUCAAACCGGGAGAUAGCUGGUUCUCCCCGAAAGCUAUUUAGGUAGCGCCUCGUGAAUUCAUCUCCGGGGGUAGAGCACUGUUUCGGCUAGGGGGCCAUCCCGGCUUACCAACCCGAUGCAAACUGCGAAUACCGGAGAAUGUUAUCACGGGAGACACACGGCGGGUGCUAACGUCCGUCGUGAAGAGGGAAACAACCCAGACCGCCAGCUAAGGUCCCAAAGUCAUGGUUAAGUGGGAAACGAUGUGGGAAGGCCCAGACAGCCAGGAUGUUGGCUUAGAAGCAGCCAUCAUUUAAAGAAAGCGUAAUAGCUCACUGGUCGAGUCGGCCUGCGCGGAAGAUGUAACGGGGCUAAACCAUGCACCGAAGCUGCGGCAGCGACACUAUGUGUUGUUGGGUAGGGGAGCGUUCUGUAAGCCUGUGAAGGUGGCCUGUGAGGGUUGCUGGAGGUAUCAGAAGUGCGAAUGCUGACAUAAGUAACGAUAAAGCGGGUGAAAAGCCCGCUCGCCGGAAGACCAAGGGUUCCUGUCCAACGUUAAUCGGGGCAGGGUGAGUCGACCCCUAAGGCGAGGCCGAAAGGCGUAGUCGAUGGGAAACGGGUUAAUAUUCCCGUACUUGGUGUUACUGCGAAGGGGGGACGGAGAAGGCUAUGUUGGCCGGGCGACGGUUGUCCCGGUUUAAGCGUGUAGGUGUGUGUUCCAGGUAAAUCCGGUUCACUUUAACACUGAGGCGUGACGACGAGGCACUACGGUGCUGAAGCAACAAAUGCCCUGCUUCCAGGAAAAGCCUCUAAGCAUCAGGUAACAUCAAAUCGUACCCCAAACCGACACAGGUGGUCAGGUAGAGAAUACCAAGGCGCUUGAGAGAACUCGGGUGAAGGAACUAGGCAAAAUGGUGCCGUAACUUCGGGAGAAGGCACGCUGACACGUAGGUGAAGUGAUUUACUCAUGGAGCUGAAGUCAGUCGAAGAUACCAGCUGGCUGCAACUGUUUAUUAAAAACACAGCACUGUGCAAACACGAAAGUGGACGUAUACGGUGUGACGCCUGCCCGGUGCCGGAAGGUUAAUUGAUGGGGUCAGCGCAAGCGAAGCUCCUGAUCGAAGCCCCGGUAAACGGCGGCCGUAACUAUAACGGUCCUAAGGUAGCGAAAUUCCUUGUCGGGUAAGUUCCGACCUGCACGAAUGGCGUAAUGAUGGCCAGGCUGUCUCCACCCGAGACUCAGUGAAAUUGAACUCGCUGUGAAGAUGCAGUGUACCCGCGGCAAGACGGAAAGACCCCGUGAACCUUUACUAUAGCUUGACACUGAACAUUGAGCCUUGAUGUGUAGGAUAGGUGGGAGGCUUUGAAGUGUGGACGCCAGUCUGCAUGGAGCCGACCUUGAAAUACCACCCUUUAAUGUUUGAUGUUCUAACGUGGACCCGUGAUCCGGGUUGCGGACAGUGUCUGGUGGGUAGUUUGACUGGGGCGGUCUCCUCCUAAAGAGUAACGGAGGAGCACGAAGGUUGGCUAAUCCUGGUCGGACAUCAGGAGGUUAGUGCAAUGGCAUAAGCCAGCUUGACUGCGAGCGUGACGGCGCGAGCAGGUGCGAAAGCAGGUCAUAGUGAUCCGGUGGUUCUGAAUGGAAGGGCCAUCGCUCAACGGAUAAAAGGUACUCCGGGGAUAACAGGCUGAUACCGCCCAAGAGUUCAUAUCGACGGCGGUGUUUGGCACCUCGAUGUCGGCUCAUCACAUCCUGGGGCUGAAGUAGGUCCCAAGGGUAUGGCUGUUCGCCAUUUAAAGUGGUACGCGAGCUGGGUUUAGAACGUCGUGAGACAGUUCGGUCCCUAUCUGCCGUGGGCGCUGGAGAACUGAGGGGGGCUGCUCCUAGUACGAGAGGACCGGAGUGGACGCAUCACUGGUGUUCGGGUUGUCAUGCCAAUGGCACUGCCCGGUAGCUAAAUGCGGAAGAGAUAAGUGCUGAAAGCAUCUAAGCACGAAACUUGCCCCGAGAUGAGUUCU
rnacentral:rRNA from 1 species